rnacentral:tRNA from 1 species
GGGAAUAUAGCUCAGUGGUAGAGUGCUUGCCUAGCAUGCAUGAAGCCCUGGGUUCGGUUCCUCAGUACCA